GCGAAAGGUACGUAGGCAUCCUAGUAAAUGAUGAUUUUCUUCUAACCAGAAGUAUGAGCAGGUUAAAAGUAGAAGAAUAAGCAUCUCGAAAGCCAAAAAUAAAAAAUAAAUGAAAAGAAGAAGACAGCAAUAGCAAGACCACAUUUUUCUUUUUCUUUCUUUUUAUCUUUUCUUUCUUUCUUUUUUGUUUCUUUUUAGACGGAGGAUUUCAUUUCAUCUUUGAAAAUAAACCUAAGAAUUUAUCAAAGUAAAUAAAGGAUAAACGACAAUACAAAUAUAUAUUCUUAUUUUAUUUUCAAAUAUAUACGCAUGAUAAUGAUUCACAAUUAUACACACACACAUAUAUAUAAUAGGCCACAACCAACAAUCCACUAAACAAUUUGUAAACCGUCGAGGUGUUUUAGUUGACGAGCUACCGUCUACCAAAUCGUUAUUACUUAGAAGGGUAAGUGAAGUAAAUUAUGAAAUAAUUUUACCUCCAGAAUCAGAACACAUACAUAAUGUGUUUCUCGUUUCUGUUUUGCAUCCUUAUAUAUCGAACUAUAAGCAUGUAAUAGAUUACGAGUCAAUACAAGUUGAAAGACUUAAGCUAUGAAGAAAUCUUAGUUCAAAUUGUAUAUAGAAAAGAACAAGUCUUAAGAAAUAAAAUAAUACCUUUGGUGAAGGUAAUAUGGAGAAAUCACUCCGUUGAGAAAGUUACGUGGGAGCUAGCAUAUAAGAUAAAGAACAAUUACCACAUCUUUUUAAGUAAAGUACUAAUAAUUUGGGGGAGAAAAUCCUUAUAAGGGGGGAGAAUGUAAUAUUCCAAAACCUUGUAUAAACUUUGUAAUUAAUUAUAAAUGCAAUGUCAUUAAAGUAUAAAUUAUAAUUUUGAAUAUUAUAGAAUAUAUGUGUAGUGUGUGUGUGUGUGUGUGUGUGUGUGUGUAUAUAUAUAUAUAUAUAUAUAUAUAUAUAUAUAUAUAUAUAUAUAUAUGACAAAUGUCUCCAACGAACCAGUUCGUUGACGAACAGACUAUGGCGACGACUUUCUUAGAUAUGACGACGAUUUAAACCGUCGUCAUAGCUGGUUCGUUAGAGGUUGGACUGUACAUGUAUAUAUAAAAGAAAGCAAAAUCAAAAUUAAUCAAAAUUGGUCAACAUAGGUCUAGAGAAUUCCACAACCUACCAAAUGGAUAAGCAAUGUAAUAUAUCACUACAAGAGAUUUAUUGCGAAAAAAUAUUUCCUUCACAUGAUUGCUCGCAUAAGACCACCUCGCAAUAGAGUAUCUGUGACGCCCCCAAAAUAAGUCCACACAACCCAUUCUGAGUCGCCAAAUACAUAGUACAAAAUUCAAAUACAACUUAACUUAUACAACUAUUAAUUGUCUUGCAAAAUACGACAAAACAUACUCUGUGAGUUUUAAUACAAAUAUUAUCCUGUAGACAAUAUUCAAACUCAAAUAAAAUCCUCAUUACAAUUAUUAUCACACUAUUUUACAAAAUAGUGAGGAUUACUUAUAAAAUAACCAUCUUGGACCAUUACUCUACUCCCCGACUAGUCUCAGCUACAUUCUCGCCUCCUGAGAAGAACAGUGGAACCAAAAAGAAAAGGGUGACCUCAACUAGCCCAGUAAAAAAUAUUAUAACUAAGAUAAUGUAAAACAAAUUAUCCUCAAUUGCAGCGGAAACAGAAUCCAUUAAAAGAGUCAAGUAGAGCAUAAUGUCUACUAUCUUCUAUGAUUUAAAAGUUCAUCAUCAAUAUUUUAUCCUUGUAAUAUCAAUCAAUAAUUAUUUUCAAUCAACGAAUUAUCUAUGCACUACGGGCCAAAGAUAAUCGUUAGUAUCACCACUGGUCAUGAUCAUGCUAAACACCUAUCCAUCUAUGCACUACGGGCCAAAGAAGACUUUCACCACAAACCUUAUCCGUAACAUUAAAAGUUAUGAUUAUACCAAUACACAAUUUCUGGUCAUAUUCAUACCAAUCAACAGUUCAUCUUUGCACUACGGACCAAAUAUGACUUCCAGCACAAUAUAAGCAUGAGGAUGAUGACAGUGAUAUAAAGAUUCAAUCAAUUCAUGAUAUCAAAAAUAAAUAUUAGAGAAUUCUAAUUCAAUUAUCCUGAGUUCAAAUAUGUCUAAAGUGUCAACAUAAUAACUAUUUGUGAAGUAAAAUUCAAGAAUGAUAUUCAUGUGUCAAAAAUAAUUUGGACAGAAAAGAAAAUUAAUUAAAUUCUGUUGUGAAUAGUACCAUAUAAAUAGUAUCCAGACAUGAAAAGAUUAAAAUUUAAUAAGAAAGUUCAGGCCAAUAUUCCAGUGAAAUGAUAUUAGAUGAAGCGCAAAACUUAAGGAAUUUCUAAUCAUUUCAGGAAUUAUAGAAACAAUACUUACCAUAGUAAGUUUAAAUUUAGAAAUAUGAAAUGAAAUAAUAUCCCUUACAUAAUAUGGAGUAUGAAAGAAAAUAAUAUUUCUUACGAGUAUUGAAAUAAAAUAAUAUCCUUUACCUUAGUUGAAACUAAAUUUGACUGGAAUAUCGGAUAUUAUUUUGAAAAAAUCUUGCACAAAAAGCUACACUCAAAGUAUCCUUAUACUCAUGAGAAAUACUCACAAUACUAUAGAAUAAGAAUUUCUGAUAUUGAUGGUGUAUUUAGCUAGAAAGGAGGUUGCCCCUCCUUUUAUAGUGCAACGGAGGGAGAAAAGUUAAAUAAACUUGCUUAACCUUUUUUUUUCUCCACCUAACAUCCCUUCUUUCUUCUCUGCCUAACUCCUCUCAUUUUUCCUUAGUUGAGGGCCCACGCUUUUGCAACAAAAGCUUUGCAGGAGAAUUAUUUCAUCCAUUUGCACAAGUGGAGUACACAGAAGGAAUUCAAAAUAGCAAUGAUAACAUUCACUCCGCUUUUAUUCACCUGCUGAAAAUUAUAUAUCAUUAUAAUAAUAAUAUUAUCAAUUAAAUUAUAAAAAGUUUAUAUUAUUUUUUUAUCACAUUAUUAUAAUAUAAUAUUAUAAUAAUAUAUUUGAUGAAUAUUUUAUCGGAGAAGAUAAUUUCCAAACUUUCAACAAAUAUUUCAUGCUAAAUUCCUUCAUUUAUAUCAAAAUUAAACCAAUAUCCACCACAUAAUAAUUAUUCACAAUUAAUAUUAUAAUCUCACAAUAUUAACAACCAGAUCACUCUCAGGAAAGAGGAGGCUUUCCGAUAAUGAUUUAUCCUUACUGGCGCACAAUUAUAUAACCUAACCACUUUCCUCGAUAGAAUUUUCUAGACAUUGCAAUUAAUGCUAACUAAUAAUAUGAAUAAUUGUGUCGUGUAAAUUAGUGAUUUAAUAAUCUAAAAUAUUGUUCAGACGAUACUGUGACAACAAUUGAAUCAAUAAUAUGAGAUACUAUGUAACAAUUACUGUGACAAUUAUUGAAUUAAACUAAAUGACUUCUUACGUAAGAAUCAAUAAUCAGAAAUAUUGUGCAAUACCGUGUGCUACUGUGCAACCACACUUAUUACUGUACUUUUAUCACCGGGUAUUCUAACAGUUAACGGUAAAAGUUUUACCGUUAUUUUUAUAAAAAUGUUAUUUCUGUCGCUUUCUAUAUCUGACAAUUAUUCUGUUAUGUGGUCCACCAAUGAUUGCGUCGUCGUACGAAUAUUCCCUGACAAAAAGAAUAUUCCCCGACUAAAUGAAUAUUAUAUGACAACUUGCUUACUUUGCAAAAUUUGCACAUAUCACCCAUAACUAAAGCAUUAUAUCAAAUCAACACCUUAUUAUUCAAAAUAAUAAUUAAAGAAAUUAAAUUUUUAUUCAUAAAAAGUUGGGGUCUUACAAUAUCCUUCUCUAAGUAAUAACUAAAUGUUUUUUUGUGAAGAAUAUAUUGUGAAUAACUUUUUAUUCACAAAUCAUAUUUGGUAAUGGAAUAUUGUUAUUUAGUGAAAUAUGGUUUCCUUCACAAAUAAUAUUUUAAGAAUGACUUUUUAAAAUUAGUGAAUAUAUAACUUUAUUCCCUCACAAAUAAUAUAUUGUAAAGAACAUAUUCAUUUAAUGAGAGAAGAUUUUUCUUCAGUAAUUAUAAAUUAAGAAUCUUUCUUCAAAUUAAUAAGAGAAAAAUUCCUUCAUUGAUGACUAACUAAUUAACUAGAACAGAUUUUAGUGAGGAAAAUAAUCAUCCAUUAAUGUCCAUUUCUUCAUUAUAAUAUCUCAUUAAAAUAUAAAUAACAAAAAAGUUAUCAAAAGCUAGUGUCAUAUCACCUAUAAUAUGUAUCCACAUAUAUUGCACAAGGAAGAAAUUCUCUAGCUAUAAGACGUAGUAAUUGUCAACUCCUCAUUAUCUUCGUCUUCAAGCAAGUCAAAAUUUAGCCUUUAACUUCAUUAUGCAAGAAAAGUAACAAAACCUCUUCAUACAACAAGAAAAGUAUCAAAAUAUAUAAGUUGAGUAUAUGUCCACAAAUUUUGAACCGUUAAAAAUGAGCGUAUAAUUUGUAAUGAAUUUUAAGAGGUAACUGAUUCAGAAAUUAGGUUUUGGUGGAAAAUUCUAGAAUUGAGUGGGCCCCACUCUUGGUUGUUGGGGGAGAUGGCUGAUUUUUGGUGGGUGAAAUAGUAGCAGGUAAAGCCAUCAGGUAGCAGGUCAAGUUUGCUUCGGCGUGCUAACAUUUUCCUAUAAAUAGAGGGCUAAGUUAGAAUUGAAAAUCACACCAUAAUUCAUAAGUUUUCUCUCUUUUCUCUCUCUAGAUUAUUGAGUGUAUUUUGGGAGUAGUUAGAUACUUGGUGAGUUGAUAUUCAUCAGUGCAAGUUUCCUUCAGCGUCAUAUCCGAUAUCCAGUCAGAAGUGCUGCUCUUUUGAGGUAAGGGAUAAUAAGGGAUUUUAAGGGUUGUUAUGUUUUUCAGUUUCGUAAUUUUUUUGACCUUCAAAAAUUCUGGAAAAAUUUGAAAUAAUAUUUUGAUGAGUUUUAUUGAUUGUGUCCAAAAAUGGUGAUUUUUGGAUGUAUAGAUUAAGAGGUAUGAAUUUUAUGAGAAAAGACUAUUUUAAAAGUAACCGCUUAUAAUUCCUUGUGGUUAACUCUAAAAUUGAUGAAAUUUUUAUUGGGAGUACAUCUAUAUAAUAUCAGUGUACUCUGUGAUUUUCGGAAUUUUUGGAUAAAAGUACAAUUUAUGAUAAAUGUCUAAAUAUUCGGCGGUUUUGGCCAUAUGAAAAAUAGUAAAUGAAUUUUAAAAAUUUUGAGAAAAAUGUAUGUUCACUAUGGGACUAUAUUAUGCUAAAUCCCAGAAAAGAAAUAUUUUUGGGCUAUAUUAUGAUAAAUUUCUAAAUAUUCUUUCUUUUUUGUUUCUUUUUAGACGGAGGAUUUCAUUUCAUCUUUGAAAAUAAACCUAAGAAUUUAUCAAAGGAAAUAAAGGAUAAACGACAAUACAAAUAUAUAUUCUUAUUUUACUUUCAAAUAUAUACGCAUGCAUGAUAAUGAUUCACAAUUAUACACACACAUAUAUAUAUAAUAGGCUACAACCAAUAAUCCACUAAACAAUUUGUAAACCGUCGAGGUGUUUUAGUUGACGAGCUACCGUCUACCAAAUCGUUAUUAGUUAACCAAGUUAGUGUAAAUUUUCAUUUUUGGAAGCUGGUAUAAACUAUCAUCAGUCAAAUUGUUAUUAGCAAAGGAGCUACGAAUGUAAGCUAUCGUCUAACAAACUGUAUUAGCUGAUGAACUAGUGUAAACUAUCAUUUACCAGAAGUAUGAGCAUGUUAAAAGUAGAAGAAUAAGCAUCUCGCAGGUAAAAAAAAAAGGAAAAGAAGGAAGACAACAAUAACAAGGCCAUAAUUUUCUUUUUCUUCCUUUUUAUCUUUUUUGUUUAUUUUUAUACGGAGGACUUCUUUUCAUCUUUGAAAAUGUGGGUAAAGAAAUCGUACCUUAGAUUUUCGUGUUGGCUGAGGAGGAGAGAAAUCCAUGAAGAGUACGAGAUUGAUUGAUGAAUUAAUUAAAGAGGGGAGAAGAACAUGUGAUCAAUUACUCCAAUGACACAUGACAGAACUCUUAGGAUCCAAGAACCUUCUUAGGGUGCCAAGGAGUCUUCUAGGGUGUGCUUCGGGUUGAGAGAGAAUUUCCAAGUCUUCAGUCUUCCAAAAAGUCUCUUCUUCAUAAAAUGGAAUGAGUAUUUAUAGAGUUUCCUGGAAAGUGAUCACGUGCCAGACACAUGACCUCGAGGAAAUUAAUUUCAAAAAUACCCUUAGUCACCAGAGUAAUGCCCAGAUCGUUCUGUCUUUCUAGCCACCAAUCCAAUCCCUCAAUCAAUUCCCAAAAUGAGUUGCCUCCAUAAGCCUUUUACUUUGGGAGGCUCUUCCUCGAUCUCAUGAUAUAAAGCUCUUGUUGCUUAAACCAUGCUUACUUGCUCUUCCUUCUUUAUUUGAGAAUCUUGUCGCUAGAAAUCACCAGAAGAACUCUGCGCAAGACCCGUGAAGCCUCGUGUUACACCCCAGUCCCACAUCGAAAGAUAUGGAAAAAAUUUGUUUAUAUAUAAGGAAUUAAGUUACUACCAAUAAUAUACCUUUAAGUCAUGACCUUUUGGGUGAGCCUAUGGUGGGCUAAGAUGACCUAAUAAUAUAUUAUUGGGUCAGUGGUUUAAGGCCUUAUUUUGGAUGGAUUCGAUUCGAACAUGGGAUUUGAACCAAGAUUUGUUCUGGGCUUGGGAUUUGACUUGGGUUGUAACAUAUGAUAUUAGAUCCGACUCUCGAAAGCUCGGAUUGGAUCAUCCGAUCGGGUUGCCGGAGGUGGGGACACAAAACCAGCCGGUAUUAUCCCACAAUGGCUAAAGAGGCAAAGAUCUGUGGAUCGUAUUUGUGAUCGGUUCUGAUGGAGACGUAAAAUUUAAGUGGGGGAGUUUAUAACACCUCAAUCCCACAUUGAAAGAUAUGGGAAAUACUAUUGUGCGAUGAUUUAAGCUAUCCAACUAUAUUGUUAUAAUUUGGAUUCCAGUCUGAGAAUGAACAAACCCUGAAAUGGGAUAUUUUUAUUGCACUCUAGGAGUGGUGACGUUGAACAUGAAAAUUGUUCUGGAUAAGAUAGUAUUGAUCAAUUCAGGGCAUAAAGGGAUGAUCACCAACCGUGCUCGUAAGAUAAGACGGUUCACAAAUAAAUUUUUGAGAGAACCUUUUCAAGAAAAGAAAAAGCUUGUUCACAGUCUUAUGACCUCUCGGAUGUUCAAUAUUGAUAUGAUAUUCCAGGAAUAUGAAUGAUUCAAGAUUUAAUUGCUUUACAAUUUUGUUUCACUGUUAAAGCAUGCCUCAAAGAAAACAUUUAAUUAUUGUUAAGAUAUUAAAGAAUGCUAUUACUUGUUGAGCAAUUGAAUGCUUAUUCUUGUUUUGUUAUAAAUGUUUUCUGCUAAUUAGGCUCCAACAGAGGGGUCUAAUAGAGACAAAGGAAAAGGAAAAGCUAGUGAGUAGUUGGUAUAUGUUGUAAUAAAUAGUUUAUAUGUUUGUAGAUAUUUAACUAUCAUGUAAUAAGCACUUAAUGGUUACGUACCUGGUAUUAGAAGAACUCUGAUAUAAUAAAUCUAUCAAGUUUGAUAUUAUAUUAUGUUGAAUGCUUGAUAUCUUGAAGCACUGAAUAAGGGUUUAAAAUACCCGAAUUUGGGGGCGUCACACGCCCGAUUCGCCUCCUUUGCGUAUGUUUAACAUGCUCAUACAACUUGUCUAAUACUCCAUUGAUUAAUUCUAAGUAUCAUUAUAUUUCAUAACUUUCAUGUUUAAUAACUUAGAAUAACAUAUUUUAUCGUCAAAAGCAUCCACGUAGUACGAGCAUGCCCGACGCCCUCCGAUCGCCUCCGAUCGAAUGCACAAUAGUCCUAAAAAUAGCCAUUUUAGCCCCUUCUCCCGACCUCAAAUCUCAAAACUUAUAAAAUAAAAGUUUUAGGUCAACUUCUAAUAUUUUCGAAUCAU
rnacentral:lncRNA from 1 species